rnacentral:rRNA from 1 species
GAGUUUGAUCCUGGCUCAGAAUGAACGUUGGCGGCGUGGAUUAUGCAUGCAAGUCGAGCGAGAACCCAGCAAUGGGGGACAGCGGCGCAAGGGACAGUAAUGUGUAGAUUAUCUGCCCUCGGGUCCGGGAUAGCUGCGGGAAACUGCAGGUAAUACCGGAUAACAUCUCCGGAUCAAAGGUGUGAUUCCGCCCGAGGAUGAGUCUGCAUCCUAUUAGCUAGUUGGCAGGGUAAUGGCCUACCAAGGCUUUGAUGGGUAGCGGGUGUGAGAGCACGACCCGCGUCAUUGGGACUGAGACACUGCCCAGACACCUACGGGUGGCUGCAGUCGAGAAUCUUCGGCAAUGGGCGCAAGCCUGACCGAGCGACGCCGCGUGUGGGAUGAAGGCCUUCGGGUUGUAAACCACUGUCAGAGGGGAUGAAAUGCAGGUGGGUUCUCCCAUCUGUUUGACAUAGCCUCAGAGGAAGGACGGGCUAAGUUCGUGCCAGCAGCCGCGGUAAGACGAACCGUCCGAACGUUAUUCGGAAUCACUGGGCUUAAAGGGUGCGUAGGCGGCGCGGAAAGUUGGGUGUGAAAUCCCUCGGCUUAACCGAGGAACUGCGCCCAAAACUACCGUGCUUGAGGGAGAUAGAGGUGAGCGGAACUUAGGGUGGAGCGGUGAAAUGCGUUGAUAUCCUAAGGAACACCGGUGGCGAAAGCGGCUCACUGGAUCUCUUCUGACGCUGAGGCACGAAAGCUAGGGUAGCGAACGGGAUUAGAUACCCCGGUAGUCCUAGCCGUAAACGAUGAGCACUGGAUUGGAGGGUCCUCCAUAGCCUUCCGGUCGCAACGAAAGCGUUAAGUGCUCC